AUCGUAAGGUAACAGGCGCUACAGACCGUCAAAUGUUGCCGUGGUGUGAAGUAUCAAAAUAGUAAGAUGACUUAUCUCCCUUGCUUGAUGACGUCAAAAGAGACCAGCCUGACGCAAAUGUGUAUUUGUUUAUACUAACAACUGCGGGUUUUAGCCGUCAAAAUGUUCAAUGUGCUUACAUUCAACUGUAAUGUAGCAAGUCAGGUAUUUCUAUAUACUUUUGUCUAAAUGAUCCAACGUUCAGAAAGACUUGGGUGUGAAAUCUACACCGAGAACACAGAACUCGAAGUUGUUUGACAAUCAUUUUACGCGAUUACGGGGGUUGAUGAGGAUCAGUUUCGUUAUUGUAUUCACUCUACUUUGGCAAAAACUAAUGGGUUUAUGAAAUUAAAUCUUCGACCAGAUGCAGUUCUAACUAUUUUCGACUAGGCUACAAACCAACGGCAAGCACGGCGAAGACGAGAAAAUCGUGCAAAACGUUGACUGUACUGUAGGCCUAUAUAAUAACGGUAGACUACAUGUUCACUCAGGGCUCGCGCUGCCCAUCGCAUUUUGCGAUUUUUCAGAAAAAAAUGCAACAGAAAUUCCGGAAAUGUGACACGGACAUUUCGUAUUUUAGUAUUCGCGCGCCAUUUUGAAUUUCAGCUGUUGGCAUCCAAACAGCCUCAGGGCUGUUUUACCUGUGCAGAAUGUGGAUACCCUGUCGCAUGGGAACAAUAAGACUUAGAGGCGUCUUGUUUAUUUAGCAGUUUACACAAAACAAAGGGUUGAUCCUCUAUGUGCAGACUUCAUGAAGUUCUUUCUCCUCUAUAUGAUGAGAUUCACCAAAGGACCACUUUGUCAUUCUGGAUUUCAAGAUGAAAACAGGAUUCUUCAGUGAAAAUGUGAUGUGAAACUAUGAUCUUGUGUUAUGUAUUACAGUAAUUAAUAUUCAGUAACUUUGUCAUCAGUGACUUUUUCUAGACUGCAAAUUUAAUGAGUAAUAUAUGUCAUUUACACUACUAAAAUGAUUAAUAAACAUUUAGAAACUCA